rnacentral:lncRNA from 1 species
GGAGACCAAAAUAGGGUCCAACGCAUCCUGAGACCUCGAGCUGGUAACGUACAGGGAAGGUGAACAGUGAGUCAGCCCUUCCUUCCGCUAAGUCAACAUAGUGGCCUUAUUCCCAUCACUCCAGGCUGGGAAAGGACAAACAUACAAGAAAUGCUUUUAAUCACGGAAUAAGACUAAGCCUCAAGCCCCCUCAUCUGCCAAAGAGUGUGCUCUGCUGUCAAACCUCAAAGUCAUUGAGAAACAAACCCUGAUAAUCUCACCCAGCUUCAAGACCAAGGGAGUCCUAGUGUCAUGGAGAAGAGCAAGGAGGGGCCCAGGGCUGCCGCAGGACAUGCCACUCCAGACAGAACUCAACUUCCCUAGUGACUAUUGGCUAUCCAACCUCUCCUCCAGCACAGCAAGCAGAUGACAAUACUUGCAAGACAUGAUGUGUUAAAUUAAAAAACAUAGUCUAUUUAACAAAUUCUUUUAUAAAUUUUUCUGGAUUCUCUGGCCAAAUUUUUCCUUGUAUAAAACUAAAUCACACAUAGAAAAUGAAGAUAGAUGUCUACCAACUAGGAAGAGAGCCCUCACCAGGAACCAAAUCUGCUGACACCUGGAUCUUGAACUUCCCAGCCAACAGAAUUGUGAGGAAUAAAUGUAUGUAUUUUA